GGCGGCAUAGCCAAGUGGUAAGGCAUGGGUCUGCAACACCCUGACCGCCGGUUCAAAUCCGACUGCCGCCU
rnacentral:tRNA from 1 species